UACGAAGGGGGCGAGCGUUGUUCGGAAUUACUGGGCGUAAAGGGCGCGCAGGCGGCUCUGAAAGUCAGGUGUGAAAGCCCCGGGCUUAACCUGGGAAUUGCAUUUGAUACUCUGGAGCUUGAGUACGGGAGAGGAGAGUGGAAUUCCCAGUGUAGAGGUGAAAUUCGUAGAUAUUGGGAAGAACACCGGUGGCGAAGGCGGCUCUCUGGACCGUAACUGACGCUGAGGCGCGAAAGCGUGGGGAGCAAACAGG
rnacentral:rRNA from 1 species